ensembl:lncRNA
AUAACAGCAAUAAUAACAGCAAUAAUAACAGUAAUAAUAAUAUGUAUAUGUUUGAAAGUAACACAAACAGAAUACAUAGUGAUAGUAUAAAUGGUACUACUACUAAUACUACUACUGCUACUACCACUGCUACUACUACUGCUACUACCACUAAUAGUACCACUACAAAUAGUAAAACUAUAAUCAAACUUAGUAACAUAAAUAAUUUUUCAGGCUAUUAUAAAUAUGUCGCUGAAAAUGUAGAGAAUAUACCCAUAACGAUAGAAAAUAUAAGUAUUCUGUUAGCUCUAUCUUUAUAUUUUUUAAAUUGUAAUAUUAAUAAUAAUUUACCUGAAUGUAAUAUAAAAAAUGGAAUGCUUAUAAAAUUAUUAAAUAAGUGUUUAUUCUGUUUGAAUCUGAAAACUUGUCUGAUAAAUAAAAACAAGGGAAACAAUGAUAGUGAUAAAUAUUUUUAUAUACAGAUCAUGGAAGAUAAGGAAAGUGGUACUACCAGCGGAUCAACAGUUAAUAAGAUAAAAACAGUUAAUAAGAUAAAGGAGGAAGGGGUAACAAAAAGUAAGGAAAUAACAAAUAACGAUGAGAAGGAAGAAGAAAUUAAGUUUUUUACUUUUUAUAAUAAAAGAAUAGUUUUACAUGCACCAAAUAGUAACGAUAUGAGAGAUGGAUUUGCAAAUAGAGGGGAACAAUACGAUAUUAAUAACAACAUUCAGACAAAUAAACUUAAUAAUAAAUGUUUUUAUUUUAGUAAAGAUAUGAAAAUAAUAUCAUUAAUAGAUAUUUAUAAAAUUUGUUGGUGUUUAUGUGUUUUAAAAAAAAAUGAUGCAUUUAUAGAUUUGUUACGCAUUUUGUUUAAUGAAAUAGAAAGUAUGACGAUUAUAAAAGAAUUUAUUUUUUGUAUUUUAUAUAUUUUUAAGUAUUGUGAUGUUUUAGGACUAAACGAAUGUAAACGUUAUUUGAAUAAUAAUAUAAAUAUAAAUAUAGAGAAUAAUAAUUUUGAAAAUAUAUGUAUGUACAUGCAUUUAUUACAUAUGUGUUCAUUAACUAAUGACAAAACUGAUUUAUCUAUCAAUCACAAAAAAAAUAUUGAUCGAAUUAUAACA